UCCGGAAAAUCAAGGCUGAGGCGUGAUGACGAGGCACUACGGUGCUGAAGCAACAAAUGCCCUGCUUCCAGGAAAAGCCUCUAAGCAUCAGGUAACAUCAAAUCGUACCCCAAACCGACACAGGUGGUCAGGUAGAGAAUACCAAGGCGCUUGAGAGAACUCGGGUGAAGGAACUAGGCAAAAUGGUGCCGUAACUUCGGGAGAAGGCACGC
rnacentral:rRNA from 1 species